CAUGACCAAAAGCGCCACGGCAACUGUGGAGUUCCGCUGAAGUCAGUCUAUAUGCGCUGAAAUUGUACGAAGAAAAGUCCGCGAGAGUGAAAUUGCGCCGAUGAUACCAAAAUCAGUGCAAGUAUUGGGCACUCUCAAUUUCGCUUCAACUGUCACACUCGGUGCGCUUCGUGCCGUCACUGAGGCGAAACGGAAAAAGGUCGCGGCGCCUUGUGGGUCUUGUAAAGGGAAAGGAUUUUAUAAAUGCAAGUUAUGCAAAGGAAAUGCAACAGUAAAGUGGUCUCCUUUUUACGACCCUUGUUUUUCGCUACAUGUGAUGGUAACAGUGCAUGAAAGUUCCACUUGUUUGGGAUUUGCCAAUACGCACAGACUAUCUCUAUCAUUGUUGGUCUUGGAUGAUCCACGGCCAUGUCUUCUGCACACAGGCAGCCAGGUAGCAGUACAGUCUAUCCAGAUCCUGUCAACUCGAAGACUCUUGUUUCUUAAAUCCCAUUCAUAAAGUAGUAUAAAUCCUGAACGUUUUACCCAAAGAUCUCUCCACAGAGAUAGAUAGUCUUUUUAGUGCAGGAGAAGCCAUUAUCAAGUGCAAAUUCAUGUGGACGGAGUUGAAAGUCAAGUAAAGUUGGCCAUGGACAACAAAAUUGUGUGGUUUCCAUUCUAGGCUGCUAGCCAACUUUUGAUAGCAGAGAAAUAUAGGUGUUCCAAGGUAUGAUACUAUAAUUUGUUAUCAUAAUCUGUUGAACGAUACAAAUGCAGUAUACCCUUAUUCAACUGAAAUUAAUUUGUCUGAAUGAAAUCCAAUCAAUAUGAGGAGUUGAAAAUUCUUGUAGAUGAAGGGGUGAUGAUUUUUCUGCUUGAAGAUAAUGUUUCAUACAUACUAUUAUUCAUUGUGAUUAAAAUGGAAUUACACUUCCACAACAAUUCUUGUACUUUUUUUUCUUUAUUCUAGU